GUUAUAGGAUCAAGCGAAUAAGUGCAUAUGGUGGAUGCCUUGGCGAUCACAGGCGAUGAAGGACGUUGUAGCCUGCGAAAAGCUGCGGGGAGCUGGCAAACAAGCUUUGAUCCGCAGAUGUCCGAAUGGGGAAACCCACUGCGUAAGCAGUAUCCCACGCUGAAUACAUAGGCGUGUGGAGGCGAACCGGGUGAACUGAAACAUCUCAGUAGCUCGAGGAAAAGAAAUCAACCGAGAUUCCGGUAGUAGCGGCGAGCGAAACUGGAACAGCCUUGACGAGUUAGCGCUUUUGAUAAUCGAACAGUCUGGAAAGUCUGGCCAUAGCAGGUGAUAGCCCUGUAGAUGAAAUCAAGAGCGUGGGACUAGGCGUCAGAUAAGUAGGGCGGGACACGUGAAAUCCUGUCUGAAUAUGGGGGGACCAUCCUCCAAGGCUAAAUACUCGUGAUCGACCGAUAGUGAACCAGUACCGUGAGGGAAAGGCGA
rnacentral:rRNA from 1 species